rnacentral:rRNA from 1 species
AUUGAACGCUGGCGGCAGGCCUAACACAUGCAAGUCGAACGGUAACAGGAAGAAGCUUGCUUCUUUGCUGACGAGUGGCGGACGGGUGAGUAAUGUCUGGGAAACUGCCUGAUGGAGGGGGAUAACUACUGGAAACGGUAGCUAAUACCGCAUAACGUCGCAAGACCAAAGAGGGGGACCUUCGGGCCUCUUGCCAUCGGAUGUGCCCAGAUGGGAUUAGCUAGUAGGUGGGGUAACGGCUCACCUAGGCGACGAUCCCUAGCUGGUCUGAGAGGAUGACCAGCCACACUGGAACUGAGACACGGUCCAGACGCCUACGGGAGGCAGCAGUGGGGAAUAGUGGACAAUGGGCGCAGGCCUGAUGCAGCCAUGCCGCGUGUAUGAAGAAGGCCUUCGGGUCGUAAAGUACUUUCAGCGGGGAGGAAGGGAGUAAAGCUAAUACCUUUGCUCAUUGACGUUACCCGCAGAAGAAGCACCGGCUAACUCCGUG